AGAAAUGUAUUGAAAGGGUAGUGGCUCAGUACCUGCCCCACUUCAGAUCUUCUACCUGACUGGCUGAAAGUUUCACUAAUCACAGGUGUUGUAUUAACAAAUGUGUCAGAGAGAGCUUCUCUUGGCCUGCCGUAAGAAGAUUAUCCAGCAGGUGGAGUUUGACAGGAUGGUGUGCACACGCCAAGUGGACAAGGAGUCAUCUUCGAAGGCGCUCCGGAGGCACUGAGGUGCUGUCACACCGCUGUUCAGUCAGCAGACCGAGAGCACUUGUUUGAUGCAUGGAUGACUGAUCUUCGAUUACUGCCUUUCACAAAACAAACAGAAACAUCUGUUGUUUUAUUUAUACGUGAGCUUUCCCAAACAGCAGCUUAAGGGGCUUUGUUUUGUUCUGUUUUGUUUUUCCUUCCCUUUUUGCUCAGUGAAUCCUGCUUGUAUGCAGAGAGGGACUUUGAAAACCAAAUAGAUUGGAUGAUUGUAUCUCCCUUUUCAGGUCAUGCUAAAGCCUUCUGGCUGAUACUUUUUGUUAAAGGGCAUUAAUGAUCCCUUAUUGAGAGACUAGACUUUUAUUUAUAACUUCUAUAACUCUGUGUUUAGAGAUUUCAAAGGUACUGAAUUAAAAGAGAUUGCAGGGGUGGUUUACCCGCCUCUUAAAUACCUCUGGAGUAAACUUAGUCAUUCCACUUUGGGAGAGGAUUCAGGUUUGUGAACCAAAGGGCUUAUAAGUACAGAGAAGUGUUUCCCCACUGCUCCUUGCAGUGAACAGCUGAACUUGAUAGAUAGCAUUACUCCAGCAUUGACUACAGGGCAGCCUGUCUUCAAUUCUAGCUCUCCUGUGUCUCACACAGCAUCUGUGAAUCACUUCAGAAAUCUUGAGGAUGUAAGUCAGAAUCCCAUUGCUAUAAAGGGAUUUAAGCGUUACGUGGUACAGUCCUAGAACCACCAAGGUUGGAAAAGACCUCCAAGAUCAUCUAGACCAACUGUCCACCUGCUAUCAGUAUUCCUUCACUAACCCAUGUCCCUUAGUACCAUAUCUAAAGAUUUGUAAUUCUGAUUGUGUUCUAAUCAUCUUGAAAACACAUUGAUGUGACUUAGUGUAGCUCUUGCAAUGAAUUUACAAAUGAAUCUUGACGUAAGACAGAUGUAUUUUAACACUUGUUUGUAUGCCUGCUUCCUGUGUAUUUAUUUUCAACCUCCAGCUGAUGAGCUGCUUUGUCUUGUGUACUGAAAUGGCCUGUUUAAUGCAGUGGGAAGUCAAGUAAAAGCUACCAUUUGUUAAUGGAUGCUUAGAACAGGCACAGUCAGACAUCUUAAAUUAUUCUAAAUAAGCAGUAAUUCUGAUUCAUUUCUAAAGAUAGAACUGUAACAACCCAGUUACCUAGUUCCCUCGUAGACUAAUUAGCAUGAAAUCGGUCUAUAAGUUUAAUGUGCAAUUUCUCAUUGUGUGGACGUUGAACAUACUAGCAAAAAUAUGGCAAGCUGUGUUAGAUAACUUGGUAACUUGUUCCCAUGCCAUAUUGAGGGGUCAGUCUAGAGGGAUGUAGAUAAGCUGGUUUGCUGGGCUGAGGGGAAUGGGAUGAGGUUCAACAAGGCCAAGUGCUGGGUGCUGCACUUUGGCCACAAUAACUCCAUGCAGCACUGCAGGCUGGGGAUGAGCGGCUGGAUGACUGUGAAGAAGAAGGGAACCUGGGGGUGUUGGUUGAUGAUUAGCUGAACAUGAGCCAGCAGUGAGCCCAGGUGGCCAAGAGGGCCAAUGCCAUCCUGGCCUGCGUUAGAAAUAGUGUGGCCAGCAGGAGCAGGGAGGUGAUUGUCCCCCUCUACUCAGCGCUGGUGAAGCUGCUAUGAGAUAUGGCUUAAUAGCUUGUGGUAGUAAUGGUGAUGGGAGGAUGGUUGAACUAGAUGAUCUUGUAUCUUCUUUCCAACCUUGUGAUUCUAUGAUUCUGUAAAAUAUGUCUAAUGGGUAUGUGCCAUGUCUGUAGUAUUUUCCUCUUACCUUCUGUUGUCCUGUUAAUCUUACUUUCAACAGUGUUCCUAUGGAACUGAUUUUCUGACCAGGCUGCGUCAUGGAAGGGAAAUGUAACUUGAAGAAGUACAGCUGUGGUGGAGGAACAUGUGUGCUAAGCCCUCAGACCUGCCUCUUGUAACAAGAUCUAGAACAACAAAGACGAGAGAAGGAAAUUAAGGAAAGAAAAAUGACUCACUACUUGUAUGUUGAAGAUCACAUUCAGAAAUAGUGACGAGAAAGGCGUUUAUGUCAGGAAAACACAAUGGUUUGAGUGCUCAUUGAAAGUAAAUGCAAGAGCUGCCUUGGUAUUACUAAAAAUAUACUUUGGGAAGGACUCAGAAACAGGGCAUUUGGAAUGAAGAACUCAAACUGCAUUGUAGGCUGAACUAAUGUCUGAGGUUUAAAUAUAUGCGGGAACUAUAUUAUAUAGUUCUGAAGCUGAAAGUGAUAAGCCUGGAUCUGAUGUGGAAUGUAAAGAAAAGAGAAAACUGGAUGCCAAAAGGUAUUUUCAGCAGCAGUAUUGCCAGUACACCGAAGAAACCAGAGAGACAAGCAGGAAAAUGGGCUACUGGGAACUGGGUGUAGUCCAGAAAGCUUGUGGCAGUGGCUUGGAAAUGCACAGAAGCAUAUAAUCUCCCAAAUCAAGCUUCUGAUGGAAACUGGGUGCUUCAUGGCCAAUGAAUCAGCUGAGGAAAAAUGCUCAGGAAUAAAAGCCCUCGGGAUGAGUACGAAGCAACAAAGAUCUUCAGUUAUGCAAUUUGUAUCUUUAAAGUAAUGGUAACUUCUUUCAGUUCCAAUUGGAAGACCCCAAAGGUCAAGAUUAACCCUGAAUACAACCUGUAUGUAAAAAGCAGGAGGUGGAGGAGGUGGUGCAACAAAGGGUCAUGUCCAACCACAGCCCACCAAGUGUGGAAGAUGGAGGAAAUAGAGAGAAAACAAAAUUAUUAGUUAUUAUUAGAAACUAAUUACUGUAGGUACUAUGAAUCUUGUGAGAAGGAGUAGUGGAAUAGCUGCUGUGGUUUUUAUUUAGAUUAAGUUGUAUUUCAGUCUCAAACUUAUGAAGCUGCAGACACAUAAUAUGCAUAUGCUGAACUUCAGCUUCUUUAAAAAAUGGGGCUUACAGGUGCAUGUGAUGGUACAUGUACAGCAAAUUCUUUUGUUUUCAAGAAAAUCUUCUUUUAAUUUGGGCUUGAAACUGGAUUCUGCUGACCUCAUUUUAAACUAGAAGUCUAAAGACUGGGUAAAGAUAGCCUUGCUUUAGUGCAGCAGCAGCAGAUGAAUUUGUGACUUCUCAUGAAGGUGGUGCUAGCAGUGGGGGCUCUUAGCAAUGCCCAAACUGAAAAUACUUCCAACAAGGCGGAAUCAGACAGUAAUGCAUUAAUUCCAUUGUACAAUUUAUCUACUUUGCUUGACAUGGACAGUUAUUUUUUGUGUGGCAUUGUGUGGCAACCAUCAUUUUGGUGUGUUUAGACUCUCUUCACAUCAGGGUCCUUAUUUAGUAAAUACCUGGAACAGAAUCUCUAUGUACUGGGAUGUUCUAUGAAAUUGAUCUUGUCAGCCAAGUGCUUUAAGGAGACUUAGUGUAAUUUACUCAUUUUGUCUUUCUGCUGAUAGUUCCUAGGGAGAUUUUUAUGCCUUUAGGACAAAUUGUCUGAUGAACCUGCAAUGAAAAGUAGGGCUUAGUCCUAGAGAACAAGAUUCCUAGUGGAUCUUUAAAUUCCACAACCGAAGCAUCUUAGGAGGUAAGGAGCAGCACACGAGGUUUUCAGAGCUUAUCACCAUGGUGACAGUGACAGAAAUUGAACGAACAGGAAAAAAAUUCAGAAUUGAUCCAUCCUAAGAGAACGCGCCCUUCAAACCAACAAGGAAAAUAAUGGAGAACGUGCGGAAAGCUUGGCUACGACGCAUGGAGCUACUGGAGUCAGAAACAAAGCACUGGCUGCCAAAAACAGAUUGUUGAUGAAGAUGUUCAAGAAGAUCAGAUCCAGCACCGACCCCUGGGGAACACCACUAGUUACAGGCCUCCAACCAGGCUCUGAGCUGCUGAUCACAACCCUCUGAGCUCUGCCAGUUCUCAGUCCACACUUCCGAAGCCUACCUAUGAGGAUGUUACGGGAGACGAUGUCAAAAGCCUUGCUGAAGUUAAGGAGGGAUAUUGCAGUCUCGGUAAGCAGGCUUCUGCUUCUCCUUAAGAGGAAUAAAGACCGAAUAAGACUGUUUCUCAGAGACUAAAACCAGGGUAAGUAUACAGGAUACUUUUUAGCCUCUUGCUGCUGGGAAGCUCAGUGACAUCUUGACCUGAGUAUUUUCUGUGAACUUGUGCGGUCUGUCCUUGUGCUCCUGUAAAUUUUAUCUGUCAUUUUCUUCUUUCCUAAUAUGUUUUUCAAUCAAUUUUGGUAAUAAAUAAUUAAUAGAAACAGACUUUUCAGUGUAUUUUAAAAAGACUGCCAGUCGCUGUGUAAGUAAUGUCAUUCUACCUGCCAUCUGUAGUUACCGUUCAGAAAAUGACAAACGAUCAUCAAAUCUUGUCAACACAAAAUAGCAGUCUUUGCCAAAUUUGGAGAUAAUCCACAAUCCCAGAGUAUAACAGUAAAGUAGAAGUGAGUUUGUAUUAUCCAUUUGUUUGCAAUAAGCAGAACUGCACUGGUAAUGCACUACUUGUAAAAAUCCAGCCAUUAAUUUCAGUAAGAGAUGUUUCCACCUUUUGUCUUUGUAACUGAGAUAGUUGGCUUUCUUUGGCUAAUUUUAUCAUUGCACAGGUGAAGCUGGGUUGGAUCUCUGGAGUUUGGCAUGGGCACACAGAGCAGGGAGCCCAGGACCACAUCCCAUUGGGUUUUGAAGCUCCCUGAUGGCGUGUCCACAACCUCUCUAUGUGACCUAUUCCAAUGCUCAACCAGCUUUGCAUAAAAAAGUCUUCCCUUAUGUUUGGCCAGUUUCUCAUGAUUUUUAAUGUGCCUCUUGUCCUACCACUGGAUACCACUGAGAAGAGUGGCACGCAUUUAUUUACUGCCCUUUGUCAGCUAUAGCUGGGAUUCCUGAAGGCCAGUUGAACCAGGCAAGAUUGAGAUGAAGGAGGCAUUGAAUAGCUUGGAGUUUUCUGUGUCAUGUGUCACCAGGUCCCCUGUUCUUUUCAGCAACGGCCCCGCAUUUUCCCUAGAUCUCUUUUUGCUUCUGAUGGACCUGUUGAAGCUCAUUGUUUUGUACUUCACAUCCCUCCACAGAUUCAACUCCAGAUGGGCCUCUGUUUAAAUGUAUCAGGUAAUUUAAUAUAGAUUUAGCUAAUUCUAAAGCCUGUUACCAAUUAGUCUGGCUCUAGUACAGGUUUCAAGUCUGAGUUUUACAGGUAUUACUUUUGACUUGAAGAGCUAGGAGUUUAGAAAAAGUAAAACUGCAGCUCCCAACAUGGCACAAUUAUUGCUUUUUUACCUCAGUUAACCAAAAUGUAAGAAAUAUAUUUUGUGGAUUCUUUUUCAAUGAAGCAAACUGGUGUAGCUGACAAAGCACUUAAGCAUGUGAUGACAGAUAUCACAGGUAUUGUUCAAAUUGGUUUUCGCUGUUUAAUAAAAGUUGCCUUUAAAGGAAUGCAUAAUACUUUUGGAGGAGACAAAAUAUCAUCGCUCAGCUGGGGCUUCUGUGACAAAGUAGCGUUUUAUUAGAUCUACCUGGUAAUAAAUGUAAAUUGUGAUGAUCAUAAUAAAUAUUUAAUUGAUUUCUGAGUAGUCAGCAAAAAAGAUUUGGCAUAGAUGGUUCACUGCUAUAAAGGCACUACUUCAGAAAAUUCCUUUGCUUCAUAAAUCCCUCUAACGCAUACUACAGUGCUGUAAAUUACUAUUGACCACAAUAUAGAUCUCAAGUCUGUAUCUUUCAGUUAGGAUACACUGCAUGAUGACCUGAGUUCAAGAACUCUUCAUGUUUUCCUUCUGCGUGUGGCUGUGUCUUCAUUUCUAUGUGCUGACUGCAUGCUUUUCCCCUCUUGAGUCACUUGCUUUUAUCACGAAACAAUCUAUAAUUGUGAAGUUGCUUUUGAAAACUUUCCUUUAAAAUAGAUAAUCUACUUCCAAAUGCAAAUUAGCUACGAUGAAUCGGGCCUGCAUCCAAGAGAACCCCACUCAAUUAAAAAUGUAAGCAACUGCUCAAACAUUUUACCAUAUGAAGUACCUCUAAGUAUGAAUUAAAAAUUAACCCUGUAUGGGCUUAACGUGAUAAACUGAGAAAGCAGAUUGUGUUUGUUGGACAAAUUUGUGAGCACCCAGCAGCUGAGUAACACUUGGAUUUACUGACUGAUUCAUUGCCAUCUUUUACAGUGGAGGUGAGGAAGGUGAGAGUGGGCAACGUGGUUCUCUGUCCUUGAUCUGAAGGCAAAGAGGUGUUCUCAUCUGUGCAUGUGUUUUACUGGCAACUUGUAGCUUUUUGGUACAUGCAUGAUUAAAUUUUUAUCAUGUGUGAAAUGAGACAGAAAUAACCUUUUACUAGAAUUACCAUGGUGAUGGUCCUCAUUUCAUUAUCAGUAAUCUAUUUAUUAAUACUGAAUUAAGCAGAAAGGGACACCUGGAGAGAACAUGCUAUCACAUGUAAAAGUAGCAGAAAGUGAAACUUUGAAAAGAAUUCAAGUCCAAUCAUUAACAUGGGCAUCUCUUUCAAAAGAUCUUUGCAAUUCCACUGUCCCACACAGCCAGGAUGUUUUACAUGUAGAAAAGGCAAGGAGUUGUAUCUCACAUUCUCAAUGUUUGACUUUCAUGCAGUGUGUGUAGAGGAAAAGAAACUGUGCCAUUUCUUUUAUUUUUGAUGCAUGCAUAUCCUUCUAUGUAUUUCUAUACCUUGUACAACAUUCCCAUUAGCAAUAAUAAUCUAAAUGAGAUGUCACUCGUUUUUCUGCUUUUACUCUUAUUAUAUAGAACAUAGAAUAGUGUUAUGGUGCUGUAUGAGCUACUAAGCCAGAUCUGCAAUACAUGUUAUGAUGGAAAUUCCAUAAAGCAGCUGAGAAUUAAACACAUCUACUUUUGAGAUGGCAUGAAUGUGUUCAUGUGUUGUAUGAGCUUAAGGACGCUGGGUUUCAUAGAUGAAAGGAGGUUAUAGUCAGCAGCAGCAAAUAGUGUGAUCAUCAAGAAACUGCAUUUGUUUAUUGAGUUACAAUAAAUAAGAACAGUGGCCCGUUAUCAUUGUUUGACAGAAGAUGCACCAAUAAGUAUUUAAAGAUUCUGUUUUAUUAGCAUCAGGGAUUUCUUUAUAAGAAGAAUAAAAGCUCCGCCGUCACCUAUGAAAUCUCAUUUCAUGCUAUUUAAUAUUUGUCAGAUUGCUCAGAAAUCAAAAAGCAAAAGAAGGAUCAGUUGAAUAGUAAACAUUUACAUCUUCCAUUUGUUUCUAUCAGUAAUUUGCAUUUGUGUUGUUUUUUUUUCAUCUGAAACUGUUCCCACUCCAAGAUCCUCCUCUUUUCCAGAGUAGCACACUUGCUUAUAUUUAAACCACGCAAAUGUUUUGUCCAAGCUACCACGUUUCUAUCAUUUGCAGACCCGGAACCGACGAGCUGCUCUCAACAACCAUUGGAUGAUGCAGCUGUCUUGACUGUAAGAUGGUGGUGCACCUCCAGCGGUGGCCAAGGUCGCAAUGGUCACACAUUACGUCGGUAUUGAAGAUAACCGCGUUACUUUCAUGUACUUUUCCUUGGAGCUCAUGGGUAAGCUCUGCUUUUUCUUUCUCUGUAUUGAGGUCACUUUGACUGUUGCAAUCUAUUUAUGUUUUCAAUUUCCAUUUUUUACUGAGUGCAUUGUAGGCUGAUCAGGAAUUCCACAUUUUCAAGGAGCGUACUGAAAAGCGAUUUCCUGCCUGAAAGUUUUCAUUGCCUAUUUUCUGAAAUACAUCUUAUUUCUUUCUGAUACAGAAUUAUUCAGACCAAGUAGUUCUGUUUCUGGCAGUCGUGAGUAGAGACCUGGAAAUGCUCAUGCAAGCACCUCCACCACAAAGUUCAUAUCAAAAACUCCAAAAAGCUCCUUCUCUGUUGUCUUUGCAUACGUUAACUUUUAUCAUAGGGUAUGAUUUUUGUAAACAUUAAUAUGAGGGCUGCUCUGAAAGUAAUGCCUCCUAUUUUAUGAGGUUGGCCCACAACAUCAGAGGCCGAUGUUGGUGGCCGUGUUACAGAUGGCAGCAGACGUGGAAGUGCAUAUGGAGCAAAGGUGUGACGCUGAAGUCCUCCAUGUGGAAAGAAUGACACUUGCUGAAUGCUGAUGGAGUGCAAACAGUGGAUGUGAGCACAGUGAGGGGUGGGUGGUGUGUUUCAGCAGUAGCAACAGCAACAGCGGGUCACCUCCGCUGCUGCAGAGUUUUCCUCUGCAAAAUGUAUUAAAAUCAGAAAGCUGUGAGAAACAUGAAUAUUUCGCCUUUCAUCUUUCUCUCCAAUCACCCCGCAGGACAAAGGAGCCUGCAGUUUCUUGCCUCCUUGUUAGCUCAUUUGCUCAAGGCAACAAAGCAGGGAAAUUACAGGCAGCACUUCAUCAAAUGCUUGUCAUCAGUUCACUCCCUCUCUACCUGUCACGAGGUGUAGUUUUAUUAACAGAAACUUGACCCAGGUAUGCUAGUAGCUCGAAAGCUCAAAAGGUGGGGUACAACUCUCCAAUAAAGGAUGAGUGAUGUGCAUUUUAUGUUUUGAAUGCAUGGUGGCAUAUCUGAAAGUGAACGUGCUUAUAGAAAGGCAACGUUUUGUUGAAUAUUGUGGAACUCAGAAGGGUUUUGCUAUGUGGUGUGAAUGAACAGGAGAAAAGACUUCAUGGUUAAUGUACAUGGGCUGUACGUCUGCAUUAGAAUUUCCUGCUGUGGAACUUGUGUUGGCACAGGAUUUAAUAAAAAUCAACAAGACUCAGCUAUAACAGGGCUUACUGCACAAACAAGCUCUGAGAAGUGAAAAUAAUAACUACUGAGAUACAUUUUUUAAAAUUAAAUAUGAAAUAUUCAUAAGCUCAUUUUAUAUGUUUAUACUUACUCUAUUAUGUUAUUGGCAUGGUAAAUUACUUUUGUUUACUGGCUACUCAAAUCGUACAUUUCCAAAUGCAAAAAGUUGUGUCUCAUUUGUUAAAAUGGUUAGAACCAGAGGAAAUAAUCUCAAUUUAAUCUCACAUUCCAAAUAAUGUUAUCAAGGAAUUGAAAUCGUAUAAUGAGGUUCAGAAUCUAAUCCACAUCACCCGCAUUACACAGUCUUUGAAAUCAGCAUGCUGACUUUACAAGUCAUUGUGUAGUUCACAGGCAGAAUUUAAACUAUUUUACAGGGCAGCAGCUCCAAACUGCUUAUUUUGGUCAAGAUGGCUGCUGGUGACUUUAAUGCUGUGUGCAGGUGGUGAAUGUUCCAGCAGCUUGCACUGAAGUUCCAGCUCUUCUUUGGUACAUUUAUUCACUGAUAUAGUGUAUUAUUAAUUCUCUUAUUAAUUUACAUUUCCUAUUAUGUAUCUCACAGGAACUCUCUAACCAGUCACUGCUUUAUCCAUAUGUCAAGCAAGCAUUUAUUUUACAGUCACAGUAGAAGUCUGUCUUCUGUCCAGGCCAUGCAUCUUUUAAACAACACUUUGUGGGCAUUUCCCUGUUUUCCUGUCAUCUUCUACAGAAUGUCGCCGGUGUGUUCUGUAGGCCAGGGAUGGAUGAAACACACUAAAUUUUGCUUUUUGCACUCAGCGUUUCAGUGAAACAUACUGAAGCCUUCUGAGUAUUGUUUAAGCUGACAUAGUAUACAGCUCUCUAAUUUUCUCCAGAAAAUAAUCUAUUUUUUAGCCUCGCCGGUUUUCAUCCAAGUACUGAAAUGCUGCUUUUUGGCUAAAUUUUCCCAGCCCAUUCAAUACUGCUGAUCACUUCUCUCAGAGACUCCUCUUUGACUCCCAUGCUUCUCAUUCCAGCGAUUGCGCUCUCAUGUUCCUGGUCAUCAUGAUGUUGGAUUUUGUAUGGACUUCCUUCAUCCUCCUUUAGCAUCUCCUGUAAUUUCUGCCCUUGUGAGGUCUCACCUGCAGUGCUGCAUCCAGGCCUGGGUCCCCAGCACAAGAAGGAUGUGGAGGUGUUGGAGCAGGCCCAGAGGAGGGCCAUAAAGAUGCUGAGAAGGCUGCAGCACCUCUCCUUUGAAGAAAGGCUGAGGGAGGUGGGCUUGUUCAGCUUGGAGAAGAGAAGGCUCUGGGGAGACCUCAUUGCUGCCUUCCAGGAGGGGGACUGAAUCUUUACAUGGUGGGAUAGUGAUAAGACAAGGAGGAAUGGCUUUAAAUUAAAAGAGGAGAAAUUUAGGUUAAAUGUUAGAAGGUAAUUUUUUACUCAGAGGGCAGUGAGGCCCUGGCACUGCUGCCCAGAGAGCUGUGGUGCCCCAUCCCUGGAGGUGCCCAAGGCCAGGUUGGAUGGGCCCUGGGCAGCCUGAGCUGGUGGGGGGCAGGCAGCCCAUGGCAGGGGUUGGGGCUGGGGGGGCUUUGAGGCCCCUUCUAACCCAAACCUUUCUAUGAUUUUGUGAUUUCUGUUCAUUCUCACUCUACAUCUUUGCUGCAAAUCUAGUGUUGUCCUUGCACAAUCUUACCCACUAACAUGGACAGUUAAGUGUCUGCCCAGAGCCAGAAGUUAAUUACUGUAUUGUGUGUUAUAUAAUUAGCACCUUGUCUAAGCAUCACCCCACUUUGAGGAUGCUACCUGUUAGAUGUUCCUUGCUUGUAAACAAUGGUCAAACUUGACACUUCAGGCUAAAACUCUCAUCAACAAUUCUAUGAGAAAGAAAACAAACUGUAUUUAUGUACAUGUGAUACUAUGCCUCUGUGCCAGCUACAGUGUUAGAGAAAGAAAAAGACGUAACCUGUGUUUUGUUCCUACUUUCCUCAGAUUUCAUUGCAGUGUGCUAGACUGCUGCCAGCAUCUAGGGAGCAGGGUUAUUAUUCCUGUCAUGUGGAUAUUUUCUUCCUUCUGCUGACUGAGAGCUACAAACUUGUCAGACAGAAAGCCUGAUAUAUUUGUGCCUUUGUCUUUUUAAAAUUCACCCAUGGCAAAUGUUAACAUGUGCUCGACCAGGGGAAAAUAUCUUCAUAAAGAAAUUAGGUGUAUUCCCCAAACAGCAUUUCUAACGGACCAUUUCCCAUAUAUUUUUCUAGCUCUGGAUGUGGGGAUUGCAGGCUGGUGGGCAGCAGUGGAAGGGCUAUUCAUGUUUCCUAUCUACAAGGCUGAACGCUUUGCUUCCCUUCAGGAACAGCAGGGAAAGCACAGACUGAGAUAGCUGGUAAUUGUCCAGUGAUUUCACUGCACCUGGAGGAUUUGUGAUUGCUGGAAGAUUUAAGGCCUCCGGAAUCAACAAGUAUAAGAAGUGAAUGCUGAUCAUGCUCACACCAAAGGCGGUGACAUAAUUUCUUCUUGCUUCGGUGGGCCCAAUUAUACCAAGAGCUACUGAGGCACAUACUUUCUAUAUUUCCCAAAAUGAUGGCUGUUUUAGCUGUUUUACAAAUGAAAAUGAAGAAUGCAUGCAAAUGUCCCGGAUGGGAAAAGAGUUUUCUCUGUCUUCCCUUCUGGUCCAAUAAACAUUGAUUUAUAAAAUGUGGAACAGAUCCCAGAGGACUCUAGAAUAUUCAGUAGCUUGGUAAUGUGGCAAUGAUGCAGGAUAUGGGUUCAAGUAUCUGCUCUGCAUCAUAGAAACACAAACACACGUGACUUCAGCUAUGAUCCCUUUGAUGCCUCUUCAUCAGCUGGUUUCUCAUUUUACCAAGAUGAGAAAACUGUGUGUGGGCUACCAGAGAAUAUCAGCUGGCCAAAACCAAGACAUUGAGUAAUCACAGAGGAUAGCAGUGUACCCUUGAGAGCCAACCUAAUCUGAACAUUAAAACGUGCUUUGUAAAGAGGAGUUUUAUUCUAACUUGAGCUGGUGAGAAGGACAGCUCUGAGUAUUCUGUUCCACCAGUGGGUGCGGUGAGACUAUGGAUUUUGCUGUCGGGAAUUGCACCAUGACUGCAGAACAAGAGCACAGAUGCUGUGUUUGCUCCUCAGAAACUAGGACUUGGUACAAAGGCGGGCAUUCCUGUGCACAGGAAAAAGAGGCACUUUUCGCUGUUGUGU